rnacentral:rRNA from 1 species
AACGAACGCUGGCGGCAGGCUUAACACAUGCAAGUCGAACGGGCAUAGCAAUAUGUCAGUGGCAGACGGGUGAGUAACACGUGGGAACCUUCCUAGAGGUACGGAACAACGCAGGGAAACUUGUGCUAAUACCGUAUACGCUGGAGACAGGAAAGAUUUAUCGCCUUUAGACGGGCCCGCGUAGGAUUAGGUAGUUGGUGAGGUAAUGGCUCACCAAGCCUACGAUCCUUAGCUGAUCAGAGAGGAUGAUCAGCCACGCUGGAACUGAGACACGGUCCAGACUCCUACGGGAGGCAGCAGUGGGGAAUCUUGGACAAUGGGCGCAAGCAUGAUCCAGCCAUGCCGCGUGAGUGAAGAAGGCCUUCGGGUUGUAAAGCUCUUUUACCAGGGACGAUAAUGACGGUACCUGGAGAAUAAGCCCCGGCUAACUUCGUGCCAGCAGCCGCCGUAA